GUUCCACAGAACCCCAUUUACGGAAUGUUAUCUUACCUUAUCUCGAUCUUUAAACCUUCUUUAGAGGGCUAGAGUUUCAAGUCCAGAUGAGCAUGAGUUUGGGCCUUUUGGGAAGGCAGCACAUCAUGACAGGAGAGCCUGUGGCCACUGCACAGUGAGGAGACAAGACCACAUGGAGGGGCCCAGUGUAAAUGUGCUACCACGCCCUGCCAACCAGCAUCAACCACCAGACCUGUGAGUGAGCAAGCUCUCCAAUGGUGCUGUGCCCAGCCUAUCUUCCAGCUAGACUCAAGACAUGGUGAUUCGAAGACAAACAUCUCCA